GAGUUUGAUCGUGGCUCAGGAUGAACGCUGGCGGCGCGCCUAAAACAUGCAAGUCGAGUGGGUUUAGACCCACGGCGAACGGCUGCGUAACACGUGGGUACCUGCCUCGAACUCAGGGAUAUCCCUCCGAAAGGAGGGGUAAUACCGGAUAGUCCCGCAAGGGUAAAGAUUUAUCGGUUCGAGAGGGGCCUACGGCCUAUCAGCUAGUUGGUAAGGUAACGGCUUACCAAGGCUAUGACGGGUAGCUGGUCUGAGAGGACGACCAGCCAGAAUGGAACUGAGACACGGUCCAUACUCCUACGGGAGGCAGCAGUUAGGAAUCUUCCACAAUGGGCGAAAGCCUGAUGGAGCGACGCCGCGUGAAGGAUGAAGCCCUUACCGGGUGUAAACUUCUGUUGUGAGGGACGAAAUUUUUGACGGUACCUCACGAGAAAGCACCGGCUAAUUCUGUGCCAGCAGCCGCAGUAAG
rnacentral:rRNA from 1 species